GCCUCUGUAGUGCAAUGGAUAGCGCGUUGGACUUCUAAUCCAAAAGGCCGUAGGUUCGUAUUCUACUUGGGAUG